rnacentral:rRNA from 1 species
UACGAAAGGGGCAAGUGUUAUUCGAAAUUAUUGGGCGUAAAGGGUACGUAGGCGGUUUAUUAAGUUUUUUGUUAAAUUCCUUAGCUCAACUAAGGGUUCGCAAUUAAUACUAAUAGACUAGAAUAAAAUAGAGGACAGUGGAAUUUCUAAUGGAGGAUUAAGCCCUGUAGAUAUUAGAAGGAACACCAGUUGCGAAGGCGGCUGUCUGGGUUUAUAUUGACGCUGAGGUACGAAGGCGUAGGUAGCGAAUGGG